CAGGGGCAGGCCAGGCAGGGGCAGGCUGCAGCUUAUGCACUGGGAGAGGAUGCUGCCUUCAUGGCAGAGCCACAGUGGAAGUCUCUGAAGUGGCAGGGAGGGUAGGCAGCCCACUGGGGGACAGCCACAUGUCAUUGGGUCAUUGAUUCACUCACUCACUCAUUCGGUACACACUUCCUGAGCACCCAGCAUGUGCCCAGCAAGGCCUUGGGCACUCAGCAAUGACCACACAGACCUCACCCACCCCAGCCUCACUUUCUGCUGGUGGAGACAGACCUCAGAGAAGGCGAGCCAGGCAGUGUUUAGCAGAAUGUGCUCAGGGAAAGGUGCAGUGUCAGAUCCGGGGAGCAGACCUGGGGAAGAACACCCAGACGUCAGCAAAUGCAAAGGCCCUGAGGCAGGAAUGUGGCUGGCAUGUUUGCAGAGCAAACUGGAAGUGCAGUGGCUGUGGUGGAGUGAGGGGUGGCGAAUGCUGAGAAAUGAGCUCAGGGAGGCUCAGGGACCAGAGGGCGCCAGGGCUUCAGAGGUUUUUACAGGUACCAAGCCUCCCAGACGGAAGAGGAGACCCGGUCUGAUUUCUCUGCAUGAGCCGGGCCUGCUUUCUCCUCACCCUCAGGGGCCCUGGGGACCACUCCCGACCACACCAUGCUGCCUCUUGUGGACCCCCAUCUAGAUGUCUUCCUGCUGGCCGGGCAGCUACACCAGGGAGGACAGGAGCUGUGUCUGUGUCACCCCCAUUCCCCAGGGCCUGAGUGUUUGAGAGAAACAGCAUCCCGGUGAAGGUAACGUGGCUGCAGAAGAGGCCGGUGCGGUGAGGCGGGUAAGCCCUCCCGGGCCGGGCGCCAGGCCCAGCACUGCCACUCCAUAAUCAUCAGUGAGCUCUAAUGGACCACUUAAAAGGUGCCAGGCCCCAUGCCAAGCGUCUUCCAUGAGCCACCUCAUCCAGACCUCCCGAAUUCCCUGUGAAACAGGCUCCAGUCUUAUCACAACGUUGCAGAUGAAGCAGCUGGGUCUCAGACAGAGCCACCUGCCCAGAGAAACACAGCAAACCAGAAACCAGAGGCAUCACAGCAGAACCUUAUCCAGCACUCCCUCUGUGCCCACCCAGGUGCCCAGCAUGUACCAAUCCAUUUACUGGUCACAUCCAUCUUUAAAGCGCGUUACUGCGAACGCUGCAGAGAGUACAAACCAUGUGAUGACCAGCCCGUGUGAUUAUUCCCAUGUGCAGGUCCAUAUGGCCCCUGCGUCCCACAGCCCGGCAGCAGAAGAGCCUUCCAUCAGUAUCCAGAGGGUGCAGCCUCCAGCCUCGCUUUCACAUGGCCACAGCCCCACUUCCAGAUGGAAACCCAAAGCUGUGGCCCUCCUGAAGGCUGGCCCGGCCCUGCCAGCCCCUCCGUGGUUCCCAGCCUCUCCAGCGCACUGAGCAG
rnacentral:lncRNA from 13 species